rnacentral:rRNA from 1 species
GACGAACGCUGGCGGCGUGCUUAACACGUGCAAGUCGAACGGAAAGGCCCUGCUUUUGUGGGGUGCUCGAGUGGCGAACGGGUGAGUAACACGUGAGUAACCUGCCCUUGACUUUGGGAUAACUUCAGGAAACUGGGGCUAAUACCGGAUAGGAGCUCCUGCUGCAUGGUGGGGGUUGGAAAGUUUCGGCGGUUGGGGAUGGACUCGCGGCUUAUCAGCUUGUUGGUGGGGUAGUGGCUUACCAAGGCUUUGACGGGUAGCCGGCCUGAGAGGGUGACCGGCCACAUUGGGACUGAGAUACGGCCCAGACUCCUACGGGAGGCAGCAGUGGGGAAUAUUGCACAAUGGGCGGAAGCCUGAUGCAGCAACGCCGCGUGCGGGAUGACGGCCUUCGGGUUGUAAACCGCUUUCGCCUGUGACGAAGCGUGAGUGACGGUAAUGGGUAAAGAAUCACCGGCUAACUACGUG